GUCUGACGGAGCAACGCCGCGUGAGUGAUGAAGGUUUUCGGAUCGUAAAGCUCUGUUGUUAGGGAAGAACAAGUGCGAGAGUAACUGCUCGCACCUUGACGGUACCUAACCAGAAAGCCACGGCUAACUACGUGCCAGCAGCCGCGGUAAUACGUAGGUGGCAAGCGUUGUCCGGAAUUAUUGGGCGUAAAGGGCUCGCAGGCGGUUUCUUAAGUCUGAUGUGAAAGCCCCCGGCUCAACCGGGGAGGGUCAUUGGAAACUGGGAAACUUGAGUGCAGAAGAGGAGAGUGGAAUUCCACGUGUAGCGGUGAAAUGCGUAGAGAUGUGGAGGAACACCAGUGGCGAAGGC
rnacentral:rRNA from 1 species